CGUGCAAACGAGCUGUGCACUCGCGUGUGAUGUAAACAUUCCUUGUUUCAAUUAAUGUUAUCGCGGGUAUUGUUAACGUGUACCAUUUGUACCGACGCCUCGUCGACACCGGUAACUUGCUGUCUAAGAGCCGCACCACACGUGGUACAGUUGUGUGCGGCAGCGGCGUGUCGUCACGCUCGGGCUGCGCGGCCCGGGCCGGCGUCUUGUGGACUCGCGGAGUGGACUCGACGCGGCUCGUUGGCUCUCAGUGCCCCUGAACUAUGGGCUGCUCUUAGUGCUGUGGUCUGUGGUCGGGAAGUAGUACUUGUACACAGUAUACAUAAUGUAUUACAAAUGUCCCGCAAGCCUGCACAAUGCGCCGCCACACGUACAGCGGGCGACGCGCUAGUAGCUCAAAAGUAACCCCGCAGGUACUCUGUGGUGUAAAGCGAGCGGCAAGAGAGCGGUGCAAAGCACCUGCCGAGGAUUAAUGGGUCACCGCAGGGCUGCCGUGAAUGCGCCACUACAUUCACCACUAACAACUCACGAUAAUUAGCUUUCGAUUCAUGUUUUUUAAGUGUAACUCCAACUAAUCGACGAGCGUAUUUGUAGUUUCCAGAUAGUAACAUAUUUAACAAUCAUAGCAGGACACUGGAAUAUUCGGUGCAUAAUGGAGUUCUACAUCAUCAAUUAUAAAUGUGUACCAAAAAUAUUUAGACAAAAAAUUUAACUAAAUAUUUCCGAAUUGUAU